CUGCCGGGACCAGCGCUGGCCCGGGCCGGGCGCAUCCCCACCUGGCCUGGGGCGGGCUGGAGGGGCGGAACUGGGACUCUCGGACUCCGGCUACGUUGGAGAAAGGGUUGGCUGUACCCUGGAGAAGAGGAGAGACUCAAAGGUAGGAGGUGGGCGUCCUCGCAUUGACCCAGUCGGGGGCCACCGAGUGACGGUUUCCGCAGUGGCGGGGUCUGGGAAGAAGCCACGAAGCGAACCGUCCACUUCGCGGGAUCCACAGCGAGGCUGGAAGGCACCCGACCCAGCCUUGCCAAGAGAAAAAAAAAAAACAGCAAUAACAAUACUGUAUU
rnacentral:lncRNA from 1 species